AAGAGGGUUAAGUUAUUUCUUUUCCUUUCCUUGCCCGAAACCCUCUUUUCCUCUCACGCAAGCGCGGCGCGGCUCUCUCUCGGGCGGAAACGAAGACGACCUAGGGCACGUCUCCGGCGGUCGACAAGCACCGUUUUCCGGCCGGUCUUCACCCGUGCAUGAACACCUCGAUGAGAGGAGCUCAGAAACGCAAAGAAGCUACCGAGACUUCAUCUCUCCGAAACCCUAGAUCUCCCUCUUCGGCUGUGAGUCCAAGAACACGAAGGAUAAAGGAAAGGAAAAGAUUUAGUAAGGAAGGCGACAAGGUGGUGCGGAUGGUGUGUGAUGCCAGGACUGUGGGAGAGAAUUGGGAAGUUUGAGUUUUCGUGUCUAGUGGAUAUGAAAUAAAGGAAAGGAAAAGAUUUAGUAAGGAAGGCGACAAGGUGGUGCGGAUGGUGUGUGAUGCCAGGAUUGUGGGAGAGAAUUGGGAAGUUUUGAGUUUUCGUGUCUAGUGGAUAUGAAGUAAUUGAGUUGUACUUUAUGGUUGAUGUCAUUUGAGAUUGUAUUUUAUAUUCCAUGUUUUAUUGAGUUUAUUCAUGUUUUAGAUUGCAUGUUGUGAUGAGGUUCUAUGUAAUAAGUAGAUAUUAUAGUUUUUGACUCUUAUUAAA